UGGUGGAGUGAUUUGUCUGGUUAAUUCCGUUAACGAACGAGACCUUAAUCUGCUAAAUAGUUACAUGUAAUUUCGAUUAUGUGGGCAACUUCUUAGAGGGACUUUGUGUGCGUAAUGCAAGGAAGUUUGAGGCAAUAACA
rnacentral:rRNA from 1 species